UACGAAGGGGGCUAGCGUUGCUCGGAAUCACUGGGCGUAAAGGGUGCGUAGGCGGGUUUUUAAGUCAGGGGUGAAAUCCUGGAGCUCAACUCCAGAACUGCCUUUGAUACUGAAGAUCUUGAGUCCGGGAGAGGUGAGUGGAACUGCGAGUGUAGAGGUGAAAUUCGUAGAUAUUCGCAAGAACACCAGUGGCGAAGGCGGCUCACUGGCCCGGUACUGACGCUGAGGCACGAAAAGCGUGGGGGAGCAAACAGGG
rnacentral:rRNA from 1 species